rnacentral:lncRNA from 13 species
AUGAGAGGGGAGGACAAGGGGUGGAGGAGAAGAAGGAGGAGGGGAUGGAGAGAGGAGGAGGGGAAAGGAGAGAGGACAAAAUAUUCAAAACAAAGGACGCUUUUGGACGACAGGAAAAGUUUCCUCACAGCUGUGGCCCAAGCCCCGCAGGCUGAGGUGGAACUCCACAGAGGUGACUGGAAUGAAGAGGAGGCUUUGGUGUCUGUCUCUACCCUACCACCUGGUGAGUGAGGUGUCUGUCUCUACCCUAUCACCUGGUGAGUGAGGUGUCUGUCUCUACCCUACCGCCUGGUGAGUGAGGUGUCUGUCUCUACCCUAUCACCU